CCUACGGGUGGCUGCAGCAACGAAUAUUCCGCAAUGGGCGAAAGCCUGACGGAGCGACGCCGCGUGCAGGAUGAAGUCCUUCGGGAUGUAAACUGCUGUCGGGGGUCAGAAAUCACUGAUCAGCCCCACAGGAAGCCAUGGCUAACUCUGUGCCAGCAGCCGCGGUAAUACAGAGAUGGCAAGCGUUGUUCGGAAUCACUGGGCUUAAAGCGCGUGUAGGCGGAGCGAAAGGCACCUUGUGAAAUCCCCCGGCUCAACCGGGGAACUGCUGGGUGAACCGGCGCUCUUGAGGCAGGUAGAGGUCACUGGAACCAUUGGUGGAGCGGUGAAAUGCGUAGAGAUCAAUGGGAACGCCGGUGGCGAAAGCGAGUGACUGGGCCUGAUCUGACGCUGAGACGCGAAAGCGUGGGUAGCAAACAGGAUUAGAUACCCCAGUAGUC
rnacentral:rRNA from 1 species